UCCGAUUUGUCACCGGCAGUUCCUCUAGAGUGCCCACCCAAACAUGCUGGCAACUAAAGGCGAGGGUUGCGCUCGUUGCGGGACUUAACCCAACAUCUCACGACACGAGCUGACGACAGCCAUGCAGCACCUGUGCACGCUCCCGAAGGUCGGUUGGCUUUCGCCGCCCUACCACGUGCAUGUCAAACCCAGGUAAGGUUCUUCGCGUUGCAUCGAAUUAAACCACACGCUCCGCUGCUUGUGCGGGCCCCCGUCAAUUCUUUUGAGUUUUAGCCUUGCGGCCGUACUCCCCAGGCGGAACACUUAUCGCGUUGGCUUCGGCACAGACAGAUUCGACUCCGCCCACACCUAGUGUUCAUCGUUUACGGCGUGGACUAC
rnacentral:misc_RNA from 1 species